ACCAGACGAUGCGGUUACCGCGGCUGCUGGCACGGAGUUAGCCGGUGCUUCUUCUGUGAGUGAUGUCCUUCCUGCCGGCUAUUAACCCGCAGGCCUUCUUCCUCACUGAAAGUGCUUUACAACCCGAAGGCCUUCUUCACACACGCGGCAUGGCUGGAUCAGGGUUGCCCCCAUUGUCCAAUAUUCCCCACUGCUGCCUCCCGUAGGAGUCUGGGCCGUGUCUCAGUCCCAGUGUGGCUGAUCAUCCUCUCAGACCAGCUACGGAUCGUCGCCUUGGUGAGCCGUUACCUCACCAACCAGCUAAUCCGACAUAGGCUCAUCCGAUAGCGCGAGGCCCGAAGGUCCCCCGCUUUCCCCCGUAGGGCGUAUGCGGUAUUAGCCUGGGUUUCCCCAGGUUAUCCCCCACUACCGGGCAGAUUCCUAUGCAUUACCUCACCCGUCCGCCGCUCGCCACCAGGGAGCAAGCUCCCCGUGCUGCCGCUCGACUUGCAUGUGUUAGGCCUGCCGCCAGCGUUCAAU
rnacentral:rRNA from 1 species